AAGCCGACUCAGCACUGCUCAUGGAGCCUCACAACCCUGAGAUCAUGACCUGAGCUGAAAUCAAGAGUCGGACGUUCGACCGACUGAGCCAUCCAGGCACCUCUCAGUUCAAACUCUUAAUAACCACUCACCUUUACCUAGCAUGUGGUUGGUGCCCUGCCCUAUACUGUUUUAUACAUAUUCCAUGUAAACUUCCAAAGAACCCUAUGAGGAAGGUGCUGCUGUUGUUUUAGGUGUUGAGUGAGGAAGCUGAGGCUCCUGGAGAGGUUAGGCCACUGGCCCAACAGUCAACAGCUUCUAGACGGAAGAGCCUGGUAUUUACUAGGCUGCCCGAUGCAGAACUGUGCCCCGCCGCUUCCCGUGGCAUCUUGCUAUGAGUGCCCAGCUCAUUGUGAUUUUUCUCUCUUUUCAGGGUUUUGGUUUUUUGCACUGAAUGUAGUCUAGACUCAUCGUCACGGGAUUGUGUUGCCCCAGGAUACUGUCAGAGGCAGUAUUUGUGUGUUUCUGCAGAGUUUUGCACAGAGUCUGUUCCCAUGCAAACCAAUGAGGGAGAAGUGUCGGAAGAAAGCAGUUCCAAGGUGGAACAGGAGGAUUUUGUAAUGGAAGGGCAUGGCAAGACUCCACCUCCUGGUGAAGAAAGCAAACAGUAGCUGCUAGCAAGUUGCCUUCUAAAGAAGCUUUGCCCAUGAUGCUUUCCAUCAGCAGUGUAUGAGAAUGCCCGUUUCUCCUCACCUUGGAUGACAAUAAAAUUAUUUAUCCUUAAAUUUUUGUCAUUCUAAUAUUUUGUGUGUGUUGUUGUUGUUGUAUUAAAGUAAUUUCUACACCCAACAUGGGGCUUGAACUUAAAAUCAACAAGAUCAAAAGUCAUGUGUUCCACCGACUGAGCUCGCCAGGCACCCUUAAUAUUUUAUUGUUUUAAUUUGCACUUUCCUGCUUACUGAGAUGGAAUAUCUUUUGUUAGUUUAUUGGCCAUAGAUUUUAAAUUUUAUGUAUCACUUAUUUGCAUAUUAUUCCCGUUUUUCUAUUGGAUUGUUUUGAUAGCUUUGUAGGAGCCUUUUAUAAAAUGUAUAUAUUAACCUUUGUCUUUUGAGAUGUUUUCAAUAUUUUCUCCCAGUCUUUAUCUUUUAGCAUUGGGGUAUUUUUCAUACUAAUAAACUUAAAACAUUUUUAUGUGGUAAAAUCAAUCAGCCUUUAUAGCUUCUAUAUUUUGUGCUUGCUGAGAGAAGUUGUCCCUACCCUAAUGUAAUAAAAUACCUUAGUUUUCCCGCUUUAUUUUUUACCUUUACAGCUUUAAAAA